rnacentral:lncRNA from 1 species
CUCCCAAGAUAAACUUGUUCCCACAUGGGUAGAAGUGGCAAUCUAGUUCGCUAUUCGCAAGCCAGCUCAUGUUCAGCUCGAAAUGAGCUCGAAAUCGAAUUAUCUUAUUUAGUAAACGAGCCAAACACGAGCUGGAUUUUUCAACUCAUUUAAUAAACUAGCCAAACAAGAGCUAGGGUUAGCUCGCUCGUGUUCGGCUCGAUAACAGCUCGAAUACAUAUAUUUUAUAUUUAUAUAGUUUAUUUAAUUUAUAUUUAUAUAUAUUUAUAUAUAUAAAUAAAUAAUAAUAUAUAUAAUGUAUAUAUUUUUUUAUUUGAUUUUUAGCAAAAAAGAGAAUAUAAAGCCGGGCUCAAUUAUAAAAAUACUCAUUUACCAUUAGAUCAAAAUUUAAUGGGUAAAAUUUUAUAAAUUUAUCUUUUAUAUAUAUCCAAUCUAAUUUAUUUAACUCAUUGUUCGGUGGCUAGCUCGUGAGCUAGCUCAUGAUCGGCUCGUUAAUUACCGCAUCGAACACGAGUUGAAUUUUUCGACUUGAUAUUUUAACGGACCAGCUCGUGUUCGGCUUGUUGACGCCCCUACAAGUGGGAUUGCCAAACUUUAACGGGGCAGCUCGUGUUAGAAUGUUUUCGAAUAGAUUAGCGCAAAAACAAGAUUUUUGAGAUAAGCCACAUUUGAGCUUUCCAAGCCUUGGGGUCCGAAUCUUGAUUUGAGGAACUGGACCUUAGCUUAUGUGCACUGAAGAGUGUCUAGUGCGCACGGCAAGUCUGUGCACGCGCUAAAUAGGCUUCUAUUGGGGCUCGAAAGUGAUAGAAUAAACUAUCCGAUAAUAACUAAUUCCAAAUAAAUUUUUUUUUUCUAUAAUUGAAAGUUAAGGGGUUUGAAGCACUUUGAAAGGUCUUGGCAUGUUUGAUUUUGUAGCAUGGUAUAUUUCAUAUAUGAGAUGAUCUAUUUUGUUCCCAAAAAAUGAUUUAGGCUUAGUUUGGUAUUGAGGUCUAUUUAACGCUAUUAGAUAAAAUGGAGUUGAGGAAAAAGUAUAUAGAAAUAUACUUCUACAUUCUUCGGUGGGACUGCAUAAAAUAUAUCGUAACCGACUCAUCGCGAUAUGCGGAAUGCAAUAUUACGUACGGAAACAAACAGGAUAUUUUAAAAUAUAUUGUAACCGACUCAUCGCGAUAUGCGGAAUGCAAUAUUACGUACGGAAAUAAACAGAAUAUUUUUCCAACGUACUUUCUCACUGCACGAAACGCAAUCCUCCCGCAAUCCCAAACGAAAUCUUAAACAUAGAAUAUGGUAUCCAUUAUAAAUAUCUGAUUGUAUUUCCUAUCUACUAAAUACAAC